rnacentral:rRNA from 1 species
CCAGACUCCUACGGGAGGCAGCAGUGAGGAAUAUUGGUCAAUGGGCUUACGCCUGAACCAGCCAAGUCGCGUGAGGGAAGACUGCCCUAUGGGUUGUAAACCUCUUUUGUCAGGGAGCAACGCCGGCUACGUGUAGCCGGACUGAGAGUACCUGAAGAAAAAGCAUCGGCUAACUCCGUGCCAGCAGCCGCGGUAAUACGGAGGAUGCGAGCGUUAUCCGGGUUUAUUGGGUUUAAAGGGUGCGUAGGCGGAAUGCAAAGGAAGGGGAAAAAUCGGGGGGCUCAACCGCGGGCCGCCGUUGAAACGGGCGGUCUUGAGUGGGCGAGAAGUAUGCGGAAUGCGGGGUGUAGCGGUGAAAUGCAUAGAUAUCACGCAGAACUCCGAUUGCGAAGGCAGCAUACCGGCGCCCAACUGACGCUGAAGCACGAAAGCGGGGGUAUCGAACAGGAAUAGAUACCCCCGUAA